AGUUAUCUGUAAUUUUCUCUGCCAAAAUCGAUCAAUUUUUUUAUGAUUAGAUCGAGUGUGUACACUCUAGUAUUAUGUUUUAUCAGUACAUCUUUUGUUUUAUGUUUUACCAGUACAUAAUAACUAAGAAUCCGUUUGAAAUGGUUUUUAUUCACUGGAGUGCAUUUUGUUCAUGUUUUAUGUCCCAUAUUGUCCUAUACAAAAAUGUUAAUUCCUGUCCAUCAGAAUUUUGAUUGUCAAGAAACAAUGUCAAAUAUAGAAUUCAUGAAAGAUUGGGGUUUAUUUUUGUAAAAGGAUAUUAUAUAUAUUUAAAUCCUAGAUGAGGAAUCAAAAUAUAUUUGAUAUAUCGGUAAAGCCUAAAACAUUUUCAUUUUGUAUAUGCACUACUGAUUUCAGCGAGAGGUGUCAGACCUCAUUUGUUAUUAGUUGUUUGUCAAAUACAACUUCUUUGUUAAUUC
rnacentral:misc_RNA from 1 species